rnacentral:rRNA from 1 species
GACGAACGCUGGCGGCGUGCUUAACACAUGCAAGUCGAACGGAAAGGCCCUGCGUUUGUGGGGUGCUCGAGUGGCGAACGGGUGAGUAACACGUGAGUAACCUGCCCUUGACUUUGGGAUAUCUUCUGGAAACUGGGGCUAAUAUCGGAUAGGAGCUCCUGCUGCACGGUGGGGGUUGGAAAGUUUCGGCGGUAGGGGCUGGUCUCGCGGCUUAUCGGCUUGUUGGUGGGGUAGUGGCGUACCAGGGGUUUGACGGGUAGCCGGCAUGAGAGGGUAGCCGGGCACAUUGGGACUAAGAGACGGACCAGUAGGCUACGGGGGGCAGCAGGGGGGAAUAUGGCACAAUGAGCGGAAGCCUGAUGCGGCGGCGCCGCGUGCGGGAUGACCGGCUUCGAGUGGUAAACCGCUUUCGCCUGAGACGAAGCGUGAGUGACGGUAAUGGGUAAGGAAGCACCGGCUAACUACGUG